CGGAGGGUGCAAGCGUUGUUCGGAAUUACUGGGCGUAAAGCGCGUGCAGGCGGCCGACUUAAGUCCGGUGUGAAAGCCCGGGGCUCACCCCCGGAAGUGCGCUGGAAACUGAUCGGCUAGAGUACGGGAGAGGGAAGCGGAAUUCCUGGUGUAGCGGUGAAAUGCGUAGAUAUCAGGAGGAACACCGGCGGCGAAGGCGGCUUCCUGGACCGAUACUGACGCUGAGACGCGAAAGCGUCGGGGAGCAAACAGGAUUAGAUACCCUGGUAGUCCACGCUGUAAACGAUGGGUACUAGGUGUCGCGGGUGUUGACCCCUGCGGUGCCGCAGCUAACGCAUUAAGUACCCCGCCUGGGGAUUACGGUCGCCAAGAUUA
rnacentral:rRNA from 1 species